rnacentral:rRNA from 1 species
GUGCCAGCAGCCGCGGUAAGACGAACCGUGCGAACGUUGUUCGGAAUCACUGGGCUUAAAGGGCGCGUAGGCGGCCGCACAAGUCAGGGGUGAAAUCUUUCGGCUCAACCGGAAAAGUGCCUCUGAUACUGUGCGGCUCGAGGGAGGUAGGGGCGGACGGAACUUCCGGUGGAGCGGUGAAAUGCGUUGAUAUCGGAAGGAACGCCGGUGGCGAAAGCGGUCCGCUGGCCCUCUACUGACGCUGAGGCGCGAAAGCCAGGGGAGCAAACGGGAUUAGAUACCCCGGUAGUCC